UACGUAGGGGGCAAGCGUUGUCCGGAAUCAUUGGGCGUAAAGAGCGUGUAGGCGGCCCGAUAAGUCCGCUGUGAAAGUCCAGGGCUCAACCCUGAGCGUGCUUCCGAUACGGGCAGACUAGAGGUAUGCAGGGGAGAACGGAAUUCCUGGUGUAGCGGUGGAAUGCGCAGAUAUCAGGAGGAACACCGGUGGCGAAGGCGGAUCUCUGGGCCUGUCCUGACGCUGAGGCGCGAAAGCUAGGGGAGCGAACAGG
rnacentral:rRNA from 1 species